AUGGGGGAGCUGAUGUGGAGCAGCGACAGCGACGAGACGGUGGUGGAGGGCUCGGUGACGGAGAGCGAUGUGGAGGACGAGGAGUUCCGCAGGAGGAGGUUAUUUGUUUUUGAUAAGGACAUGGAUUUAACAGCAGAAAUGAAAAAGAAUGAAGGAGUUUGCUCUCCAGAAAUCGCUUUUAUGCAUAUAGCUCACGAUCAUAUGUAUGGACUAAAAGUAAAACAGAUUUCACAGAAAACAAGUUAUGAAGGUCUCUCUCCAGAAACAAGCCUGCAUCCAGAUGCCUUUCUGGAGGAGGUAAUAGCAGUUUCAAAGGAACAGACACCACAAGAUUUAUUUUCACAUGCUUUAGAAGAUUGCCAGAGAACCUGCAUGACCGUGAUUGACACAGAUAACAGUGUAAAAGAACAAUCCUGUAAUAAUGAUACAGAUCUAUCAUUGGCAACGCUGGGAAAUGUUUUCACGGAACCACUAGCACUCCCUGAACAGAGCAUAGAGACUGCUGAACUUGAAGUCAGUGAUUUGUUGAAACCUCUCAGUGAUUCCGAGAGUCCUAAAAUGAUAAACCAAUUGCAUGACAUAUUAGACUACCAGGGUCAUGUCUUUUCCAGUGAUAUAUCAGCAGAUGAGAACAGUGAUGCCCUUCCAGUAGAGCUUGUGACAGCUCUGAAUUCCUUGUCAGGGUCUGUAAUACAGUCUGACAGUCCUGUAGCACCAAACAAGAGACAGCUUACCGCUGAGGAAGAGCAGUUAAAUUCGGAACCCAGUACUCCCCAGCAAGAUGAUGACUGUACACAAAUAACAAACCUGUCGGAGCCUCAGCUUCCUACGAUUCACAUGGAAGAAAUAAAAGCCUUAACAGGAUCUAACUUGCAGAGGACAACAAAUGAGCAAGUACAUACGUAA
rnacentral:lncRNA from 1 species